GGUCUGGUCUGUGUUCCUUACCCAAACAAAGCUUAGAGACUCCUCCAUGUAUGAGUGUAUUUGGCAAGAAAGAAAAACCUUAUCAACAGUGUGGCUUAAAGUCCAGGAACCCCGCGUCGAGCCCUAUAGAACAGUACAUGCAGGUACGAGGGUGGACCUACCAUGCUAUAUCGAAAGCUCAAGAAUCCCAUCCAACUACCUGGAAGUGUGGUGGACCAAGGAUGGCAUCACUUUAAGUUCAAUGAACGAAGGUGUUCUACCUGGUGUUUAUGUUUUGAAUGUCACAGAGGAGGAGUUCCAGCUUCAAAUGACAC
rnacentral:lncRNA from 1 species